rnacentral:rRNA from 1 species
GAUGAACGCUGGCGGCGUGCUUAACACAUGCAAGUCGAACGAACCUUCGGGUUAGUAGCGGACGGGUGAGUAACGCGUGAGAAUCUGCCCUCAGGAGGGGGAUAACAGCUGGAAACGGCUGCUAAUACCCCAUAUGCCGCGAGGUGAAAUGAAUUUCGCCUGAGGAUGAGCUCGCGUCUGAUUAGCUAGUUGGUGUAGGUAAUGGCUCACCAAGGCAUCGAUCAGUAGCUGGUCUGAGAGGAUGAUCAGCCACACUGGGACUGAGACACGGCCCAGACUCCUACGGGAGGCAGCAGUGGGGAAUUUUCCGCAAUGGGCGAAAGCCUGACGGAGCAACGCCGCGUGAGGGAUGAAGGCCUCUGGGCUGUAAACCUCUUUUAUCAAGGAAGAAGAUCCGACGGUACUUGAUGAAUAAGCCACGGCUAAUUCCGUGCC